CAGUAAUAUAAUGAACUUGGACUGACAGACAGUAGUGCUAGCUUCAGAUUUCAGACUCCCUGGGAAAUCUUCAUUAGGACGUGUUGGCAAACAUGUUGGCCCAUGCCUGUAAUCCCAGUUCUUUGGGAGGCCAAGGUGGAGAAUUGCUUGAAGCCAGGAGUUCAAGACCAGCCUGGACAAUAUGGCAAGACCUCAUCUCUUAAAAAAAAAUUAGCCAGGCCUUCAGACCUGGAUUGAGAUCUACACCAUCAACUCUGGCUCUUAGGCCCUCAAACUACACCAUCACUUUCCUGAGUCUCCGGCUUGCAGACAGCAGAGGUCCUGAAAACUAAAAACAAAGGCAAAGAGAGUGAAGUGAGGAAGAAGAUGAUCUAUUCUGAAUUGACUGUCAGUAAAGAACAUGGCUUCUGCUCUGGCUUUGUGGAAGAAAUCACAAAAAUAUGACGGUCCAAUGUGUUCUUGGGAACAGGGAGAAGAAUAUUACCUGGGAACAGCCUGGGACACUGCAAGGAAGAGAGCGUCCACAUCAUUUGAAUAAGCUACAAGUGAUAAGUCAUUUUUCAUUAAUUCAGCUAACAAACAUUUAUUAAAAGCCUACUAUGUGCUGGUACUGUUCUAGGUGCUGAAGAUACAGCCUUAAAUAAGGUGAAGAAGGUCCCUGCCCUCAGAUGUGUACAUUCUAGUCGAAGAGACCUAAAAAGCUAGGAAUAAAUAAACUCGGGUAAUGUAAGUGCUAGGAAAUAAAAUUAGGCAAGAUAAAAGAAUGGAAAAGGUCCAAAGGUGGAUGGGCAGGGGUGCGAGGGAAGGAGGCUGAUGGUUAUUUUAGAUAGGGGGGUCAAGAUGGACCUACAUACACCAACCAAGAUUCCAGCAAGGUCAACCUUUGGCUGCCUGCUAAAUGUGAUUUAAGAUACGCUGCCAGGAAAGGACGCAUCCAUUUAUUCAUUCAAAAAUGUACUGCUGGACAUGACUAGUGUGUACUGGACACUGCUGUGCAUUAGGGAUACAGGGUAAGCAGAAAGAAACCAAAACAAAACAUGCUGCAGGAAGGUAGCCCUUAACCAGGUAAACGGCCAAAUAAAUAAAGGGCUAUCACUGGUGACUUUUGCCAAAAGUGCAACAAAGGAAACUGCACUUAUUCAAACUGAAAUAGCUAGGCGCUAAAACCAACAGAAGCCAUCCAUGCUCAGAGGUUUUCUGGCUUCUCAGCUAACAGAGAUUUGAUGGCAAGUGGGAAGGGGAGGAAUGUGGACAGGAUCCAAGCCUGAGGUUACUGAAAGUCUGGAAAGGUAAGAAGGCUUCCCAAGGGUUGAGAAGGUCACAGAAAGGGGUGUGGGUAUGAAUCUGGAGGUUCUUGGAGGUGGAAGGUACCUUCAAGUAAAUUAAACAAAACCCACACCCAUUACUUAGGUGAGGCAACCAAAGCCCAGAGAUGUCAAACGGCUUGCAUAAGGUCACAGAACUAGAUCAUGGGAUACCCGCAAGUAGAAUCGCAGUCUACUUGUCAGUGAAGUUAAGCAUUUACACUGAAAUCUAUAUUUCACUUGGGGUGGGUAGGGAGGGUGAACAACAGGUAUGUGUUUUCCCUCUAUUUUCAAAAUCUGAUGAAAAAGAGGAGGAAUUAAGAGGAGAAUUUGCGAUUAGACUCAGAGAGCUCACAAGUCUCAGAAAUAAUCUGUAAGUCCUCUUUAAAAUAAAUCGGGAUUUUAUUUAAACACAAAGUCAACCUUCAGACACAGUAGACGUGAAAUCCUCCUGUUAGGGCAGGGAUUUGCUGGAGCUCAUUAAUUCUGAGCAGGGUUGUUUCCCGCCCAGCUUUCUUCAGUGUGUACAGUAUUUUCAUUUUUCUUGCUCUUACUUUUUUGGGCACUGAGCCCAGCUCUGAGACUCCUGGGUACAGGCAUUUACAGAGAAGCUGCUGUUGGGCCUGCACGCUGGUACCAUCCCACAGCAGAAGAAAGGGAAGAUAAACCACCAUUUAUUUCUAAGUGUAAACCUUUUAGUUACUUAGAAUGGUGAUGCUCUAAAUAGCCAGAGUGUUCUAAGUGGUAACUUAUCUUCAUUCUCCUGACACACGACAUUGUCAGCACAGCCUGUUUUGGCAUGAGAGGAGUCCUAGCUAGGGGCAAGAUUCCUCAGGAUAACCUGAUGUUUAGCAGAAUGAUUACCAGUAUGAAUAUUUUAUCCAUAUCUCUUUGAUAAUCCUUGAGACAGAGUUUCACACUUGUUACCCAGGCUGGAGUGCAAUGGUGCGAUCUCUGCUCACCACAGUCUCUGUCUCCUGGGUUCAAGCGAUUCUCCUGCCUCAGACUCCCAGAUAAUCCUUUUAAGGGUAGGCAAUGAACCUAGACAGUCACUAAUGAGGUUUGGGUAGUUUGCUGUUUUUUUCUGGAAUUUCACAUCAGUAGUCAGUGGCCCAAGCUCAGCUUCAUUGGCCACAAGGCAGAAUGCUUUUAGAUAAGAAUGAGCUUGCACUCUGCUUUCACCAAGGAAUUCUUUAAAAAAAAAAAAAAGGAAAUAAAAUAAUAAUAAUUAAAAAAAAACCUCCAGAUUUUCUUUUGCUUGUUUUUGUGUGUUUGCUUUUUACCCUGUUUUCUGGAACUAUGUGGAAGUUGAACCUAUCAAAGUGAGAUGGCCUCAGCCAGAUGCAUGGGCCAGAGUCCCACAAGAGAUCUCUAGAUUCUACAUAAGAAGGGAAAGCAGGGGAGUAGGGCAAAAAAAAAAAAAAAGAAGGGGAAGCAAAAUACCCCCUGCCUUCAGGGUCAGCCUCCCUUAACUAACUUUCUGUUCCCUGCCUGGAAAAAAAUCAGCAAGGGGGAAAACUGGGAUACACAGAUUUUAUUUCACUGGCUUCCUUCCUUUACUUCCUCUUCCCCAAAUUUCCCAAGGUAGAAAAGGGUCAGGCUUUUUUCUUAUCUCCUCUGCUCUCCAGGCUUCUUCUACCAUGAAAGAUAUAGAAGGCAGCCCCGUGGCUUUGCUGUCAUAGGCAGGAGUAUCAUUUUUGGUUCCUUCCUAUGUUGAAGGAGGGAGAUAAUGAUCUUUUCAAAAUCCUCUCUCCAGAUAACAGCCUGGCUUUCCAGGCUAUCACCUUGCUGGGUGAUCCUACUUUGCAUAUCAGAAACUAAUAAUGCUCUCCUCUCAGGUAGAUGGGCUUCUCAAACUAACUGGAAAUGCUUAUGGACCCAGAGAAAAGAAGCAUGCCCAGGAAUAAUAUUUUAAAUAUUAUCCCUCUGACUUGUAGAUGCUACCUGGGUGAUGGAUGUUUACAUCGUUUCUUUCUUUUGCUAUUACAGAUAUUUCUGCAAGGAUGAACAUACAUACUUACCUGCAUGUGUAAGUAUGUCAAUAAGAUAAAAUCCUAGAUACAGAAUUGCUCAAACUUUGUAUUUAUAUAUAACGUUUGCAAAACUUAAAACACAAAAUGGAAAGUUAGGUGAAGAUGAGUGGGAAGAAGUGAAAGUCUUUGAAAUUGUGUGGGAGAACAGAACUCCAAAACAUUACCAAAACAAUUUAUUCAGACUGCACUCACAUUUUUCAUGCCAAUGGUACAACUCUCAGAGAAAAGUAUGUGAGGUGUCAGCUUCUUCAUUUCAGCAAGUCAAAUUUCUCGUUCCAUUUUCUCAUUCAGUUCAUAGUUCCAGAGUACCCUGGACCAUGUUCAUUUGCCCUUCAGAUUUUCUUUAAGAUGACUGACAAAAUUGCUAAUGGGAUGCAAUGGCUUUAGACUCUAGGUCACUGGUUUUCAUGUCAGUGAGUCCCAUAGCAGUGUUUCCUUUUUUAUUAAUUUUGUUUUUGAGACAGGGUCUUGCUCUGCCACCCAGGCUGGAGAGUAGUGGUGCAAUCUCAGCUCACUGCAACCUCCUCCUCCCGGUUCAAGCGAUUCUCCUGCCUCAGUCUCCUGAGUAGCUGGGAUUACAGGCAACCGCCAUCACGCCCAGCUAAUUUUUGUAUUUUUAGUAGAGACAGGGUUUCACCAUCAGGCUGGUCUCGAACUCCUGACCUUGUGAUCCGCCCGCUUUAGCCUCCCAAAGUGCUUGGAUUACAGGUGUGAGCCAAGCAGUGUUUCUUAUAGAAAAUAAAUGACUAGACAAUCACCGUGGUUACGUAUUCUCCUCUAGUUCAUUUCCUUCCUAAGCUCAUUCAUCUGUGUUUCUACAUUCUUCCACAACAAAUUACAAAUGUUAAAUUAAAAUUUCCUAGAACUUUUUCUAUGUCUAUAUAUGUAUAUAUUUUAACUGGAAAGUAAUAAUGAACAUACUCUUCCACACUUGCUUUUUUCCACUUAAGAACAUAUUUUCUGUAUUUUAAAUGUACAAUCUUAUCUUACUAAUGAGAUCUAACUAAUUCAUUUAAUAUAUGCAUAGAAUUAUGUUGUAUGGAAGUGGUAACCUAUGUGGUUAGAUUGUGAUAGGACCUCCAUUUUGUAUGUUUUAUCUGUCUGUACUGUUUCAUUACUUCGACAAUAUAAUUUUUAUAAAAAUUGAUAAAUUUUUAUUUAAAAUAAAAUAAAAUAAAAUUUCC
rnacentral:lncRNA from 10 species